rnacentral:rRNA from 1 species
AUUGAACGCUGGCGGCAUGCCUUACACAUGCAAGUCGAACGGCAGCACGGGUGCUUGCCCCUGGUGGCGAGUGGCGAACGGGUGAGUAAUACAUCGGAACAUGUCCUGUAGUGGGGGAUAGCCCGGCGAAAGCCGGAUUAAUACCGCAUACGAUCUACGGAUGAAAGCGGGGGACCUUCGGGCCUCGCGCUAUAGGGUUGGCCGAUGGCUGAUUAGCUAGUUGGUGGGGUAAAGGCCUACCAAGGCGACGAUCAGUAGCUGGUCUGAGAGGACGACCAGCACACUGGGACUGAGACACGGCCCAGACUCCUACGGGAGGCAGCAGUGGGGAAUUUUGGACAAUGGGCGAAAGCCUGAUCCAGCAAUGCCGCGUGUGUGAAGAAGGCCUUCGGGUUGUAAAGCACUUUUGUCCGGAAAGAAAUCCUUGGCCCUAAUACGGUCGGGGGAUGACGGUACCGGAAGAAUAAGCACCGGCUAACUACGUG